GACGUAGGUGGCAAGCGUUGUCCGGAGUUAUUGGGCGUAAAGCGCGCGCAGGCGGUUCGAAAAGUCCAUGGUGAAAGCGCUCGGCUUAACUGAGCGAGUGCCGUGGGGACUGUCGAGCUGGAGGGGAGCAGAGGCGAGUGGAAUUCCGGGUGUAGUGGUGAAAUGCGUAGAGAUCCGGAGGAACACCAGUGGCGAAGGCGGCUCGCUGGGCCACUACUGACGCUGAGAAGCGAAAGCAUGGGGAGCGAACAGG
rnacentral:rRNA from 1 species